rnacentral:rRNA from 1 species
GACGAACGCUGGCGGCGUGCCUAAUACAUGCAAGUCGAACGCAGUGGGGACGGGUGAGUAACACGUGGGUAACCUCCCAUCAGAGGGGAUAACACUUGGAAACAGGUGCUAAACCGAUACUGAUGGAUGGACACGCGGUGCAUUAGCUAGUUGGUGAGGUAACGGCUCACCAAGGCCACGAGGCAUAGCCGACCUGAGAGGGUGUUUGGCCACCCUGGGACUGAGACCCUGCCCAUGCUCCUACGUGUGGCAGCAGUAGGGAAUCUUCGGCAAUGGGCGAAAGUCUGACCAAGAGACGCCGCGUGAGUGAAGAAGGUUUUCGGUUCGUAAAUCUCUGUUGUUAGAGAAGCGGUAUCUAACCAGAAAGCCACGGCUAACUACUUGCCAGCAGCCGCGGUAAUAC